rnacentral:misc_RNA from 1 species
AAAAUGCGAUACCUGGUGUGAAUUGCAGAAUCCCGCGAACCAUCGAGUUUUUGAACGCAAGUUGCGCCCGAGGCCUUCUGGUCGAGGGCACGCCUGCCUGGGCGUCACGCCAAAAGACGCUCCCACCCUACCUUUGGGUGAGGAUGCGGUGUAUGGCUCCUCGUGCCGCGAGGCGCGGUGGGCCGAAGUUGCGGCUGCCGGCGUACCGUGCCGGGCACAGCACAUGGUGGUCGACCAAAAGUUGUCACGGUGUUGUGCCUCGGUGCGUAGCCAGCGAUACGGCCCUAACGACCCUUGAGACCGCAGCGCUCGUCGCUCGGACCGCGACCCCAGGUCAGGCGGGACUACCCGCCGAAUUUAA